AACGAACGCUGGCGGCAGGCUUAACACAUGCAAGUCGAGCGCCCCGCAAGGGGAGCGGCAGACGGGUGAGUAACGCGUGGGAAUCUACCCAUCUCUACGGAAUAACGCAUGGAAACGUGUGCUAAUAACGUAUACGUCCUUCGGGAGAAAGAUUUAUCGGAGAUGGAUGAGCCCGCGUUGGAUUAGCUAGUUGGUGGGGUAAAGGCCUACCAAGGCGACGAUCCAUAGCUGGUCUGAGAGGAUGAUCAGCCACACUGGGACUGAGACACAGCCCAGACUCCUACGGGAGGCAGCAGUGGGGAAUAUUGGACAAUGGGCGCAAGCCUGAUCCAGCCAUGCCGCGUGAGUGAUGAAGGCCCUAGGGUUGUAAAGCUCUUUCACCGGUGAAGAUAAUGACGGUAACCGGAGAAGAAGCCCCGGCUAACUUCGUGCCAGCCGCCGCAGUAAGAC
rnacentral:rRNA from 1 species